rnacentral:lncRNA from 1 species
CUUGUUUUCAAUGUAAACAACGACUUAAACUUAUUUCUUUUGCAAUUUAUAUAAAAAACAUAUUUCACUUGUUAAUAUUUUUGGUCUGCCAGCUAUUAAUUAUUAUGUUUUAUGCUUAUUGUUGAUAAUUUAGUUCAUUUUCAAACAAAUUCGUUCACCAUCGAUUGCGAAUUUCAACAGGUAAUGUACAUUUCAUCGUGUUGCUU